rnacentral:tRNA from 1 species
GGAGAGGUGUCCGAGUGGCCGAAGGAGCUUGAUUCGAAAUCAAGUAUACGUUUAAAGCGUAUCGUGGGUUCGAAUCCCACCCUCUCCGCCA